rnacentral:lncRNA from 1 species
UGCAUGAAGAUCUGUUUAUUGAGGAUAUAAAUACACAAAAGUAGCACAACUGCAUAACGUAAAUGCACCAUAUUGAAUUGUCAUUGCUAGCCAUUUAAUAGCAAAACUAUAAAAUAAUUCUUGAAAGGUUGAGUGUAAAGGAGUAGGUUCAGUAAGACCCCUUUUUUGCCCCACAAUUAAGCAGUUUUGCAAAAUUGUGAAAAUGUAAUCUUUUAGCUAUUUUUUGGAAAGCAGAAUGCUUCUGCUACAUAAAUAUGUGCUGUUUUUGACAAUACAAUGCACAUAUAUCGUGUACUAGCAUCAUAAAGUCAUGCUAAAUUACUAAAAUCUUCACAAUUAUAGCAUUUUAGUUAAAUUUUAGACGGUUUCCGUCUUAAAUGAAAAUGGCCGUAUUCGUGUUCAUUCAUAAUAUUGAUGAACACGGAUGCGGCCACUUUCAUUUUUGACGAAAACCAUCUGAAAAGUGACGUUUUUGGCAUAUUUGAUAGAUUUUUCAUAUUUAAGCUUCAAUCAGAGCGUUUUUAAUGACUGGAUCAGUUAAAAUCUUUAGCAUAAACUAAUCGAAUCAUUUAAAAUAGACACUUAAGUGUUUAAAAAGUGUCCUAAAUAUCUCGUUAGAUGAAACUGAAAUUUGGGGCCAAAAUCGGCCCUUACCGGACCUACUCCUUUGAAUCUAAUCGAACAAAUGCAUCAUGACAAAUAGAUAAAUGGAAUACACUAAUAUUAUAAUGUCAUAUAACUGUUAAAAGGAAAAAUAACAGUUUGUUAAAAAAAUCAAUAUAACUAACAUGUUGUUUUUUGUAAAUCUUAUCUACCAUUAUUUUCCUAUGGUCCAUAUGACGAAUACAAAAUUGAUAGUUUCUC